ACCAAUACUGAAAAGGCCACAGAAACUAGAGCGUGUGUCUGCUGCUGCAGUUGGGUUGCAUCACUUCAAACUUGUCUUCUGACUUUGCAUUUUGUGUGGAAGUGCUUUCUGAUGAAGUUUCUGUCAUUGCAGUGACUGUUUUUGUGGUUUACUUACAGACUUCACAGAAUGUAAUCCAGUUGUGGCUGCUCUGCAUAUUCUGUUGACAAGUAUAGAUUCUCGGUAUUGCAUGCAUGCAACUUCGCAUUACUUGUUCUAGCAACGUCGUUGACUUGUGUCAUCCUGUGCUGCUUGUACAAAGUGUUUUGCUUUGAUCUACAUGGAUGGCUGGCAGUAUCUUUUUUUUCCUGACGAUAACUAAUAAGCAGUCCAAAACAGAACACGCAAAGCUUAUGUAUCAUAAAAUUGUGUGAACUUUGUAAAUCAGAGUAGGUUCAUUUGUAAAUUAUUUUAUAGGAUUCCAGGCAACCAUUAAGCUAUGAUAGCUCACCUGGUCUGUUUUGAAGCAAUGAGUCAACCAGGUAACUGAUUUAAUUAUUAUUUUAUCUUCCUUCUCUUAAUAGGCAUGCGUAUGCCUCUUGCUCUUCUUCCCACUUCCUUCCUCUCCUAAUCCUUCAGCAUUUUUUUAAUAUAUAAAAUAAUCACUCAAGAAUGUUGUUGCUUCCUCUACAGCUUUUGUAUUUGCUCCUUGCCUGCUGCUUCUCCCUCUGGCUGCUCCAUCCUCACAGCACGCACUCUUGGUUCAGUCUGGAGCGUGUUGCCCUCUAGGCCUUGUACCCAGCAGCAGUCACUCAGCAAGUCAUGGCUGGGUGUUGGCUACGGGAACGUAAGGAGCACAACCAGAAAAUAUCUCUAACAAUGGGUUGCACAUACUUCCAGGGUGUUAGCAUGAACAGGAACUGGAUCUUAAAUACUCGCUUGUGUGUCUCAGUUCUUGCACUUACUAGAAAUACACAGACAUGAGAAAUGUAAAAAAGAUUCAGUUGUUUAGGAGGCAUCCUGUGUAGUGCAGGCACAGCUUCAUAAACCUAGACAGUCAGGAGAGAAUCCCUAACAGUUAAUAUAUUUGUUACCUUCUGAAGGAGAAAAUUAUAGCACUGAAAGCCAUACUUUUAGUUAAUGGCCAAAACAAACCAGUGAAGAAUACAGUUUCAAAUCCUGACCACCAGCCAUAAAGUUGAUCCAACUGAUAUGUACCACAGCAUGGGACAGACAGUUUCCACAGGUAGUAGCAGUACUUUAGGAGCUGCUGUGCCUCCUCUCAUUAAUGUAUCAAAGUCACUAGAAGAUUUUGGCAAAUUUCACAUAAUGGAAAAAAUUAUCACGUAACUACGCAAGGCAGCCUGUUGCAUGUGGAGAUGUUGCAGCCCUGGUGGCCACUUCAAGCUUGACAAACCAGCCAGUUCAUCCAACAUCCUUUCCUCUCCUGUCUUGUCCAGAAAAGCUCCAAGAGACCUUACGUGGACUGCUGCUUAUCCUAAACCAUUGCAGUUCAUGGUUCUGAACAUUGCUGCAAGUGCACAGAGCUGAGGAGGACACUGCAUGGAUAAAUACGCAUGCGACAACAGGCAACAUGGAGAACAGCUCUCUUCUAUGCAUCAUUUGGAUUUGACUUGUAUUUGACUACCAACAGUCUCAGCAUGGAUCAAGGGCACUGGAAGUUACUGAGCAACACACGUACGCCCAGCGUUGUGUUCCUGAGCAAUGGUAGCUGCAUGGUCCAGAGGGAUCCCAAAGCGCGUGCCUGGGUGAGCACGUACUUGUAGAAACCAACUGGAAAGGAGACACAUAUAUGUUGAAAAUGGUGCUUUUCCACAUGUGGCAACAAGACUUGACCAAGAAACAUCAAGUCACAUAACUACGGCACUUCUCAGAGAUUCAGAUGUGAGCUACUACAAUGAGGUCAUCUAAGAAAUCUAGAACUAAGCUCUUCUAAACUUUAAUUUUUGGCUUUUGACAGCUUUGCUUGGUGCUCUUGCAACUUAGGCAUGUUUCUUAACACUUUUGAGCAAAGUAGGAUUUCAUCGGAUUGUAUUAUAAACGUUAAAAAUGUUAGUGAAAAGAGGUUCAUGCUGUUCUUAUACAUUACUGAAAAUGAAACACGUAUCCACAAAUACUUAUUGUAGUGGCUUACUUUCUCAGCAAUAUUUUUGGCCACUUUGACAGUAAACAUGACGUAAGUUUCAUUUAAAAGUUUGAAGUCCCCUAAGAAUCACUGUCAUUUCCCAGAAGCUGCCUUUGGGAAAAAAAAAAAAAAGAAAAAAAAAGUGUACCCAGUAAACUUUAAAGGGAAGAUAAUGAGAAUUACUAAUGAGAUAAAUGAGAUAAGCGGCUGCCAAAUUUCAUGCAACUCCCUUUCAAUCCAGACAACAACUACAAAUUCGACUGCAAUGAAGAGGUGGAACAAAGAACUGCUGGUUCUCUGGGGAAAGAUGGAAGGGAUUUCAGCCAUCGUUCACACAUCUCAGCAGCUGGCACAGCAGAGGGAUUUACACACACCAAGUCUGUCUCCCCGAUCCCACCCAUUCCCACACUGUGCCUCACAGAACAGAGGAGCCUCUGCGGUGCCGAGUCACAGACUUUGGUGCAUCAGCCCAAACUUUUCUUACAAGUUGCCUUGCGGCAGCUUUACAUUGUUCUUCGGUUACGGAGUCCUUAGAGCUCCUUUGCUAUGGGUAAAAUGACUAAGACAAAUCUUAAGUGAAGAAAAUUAGCUUUAUUUAUGUAAAUUAGAAAAA